GUUCAGGACUGGAAGGAAGCAG
rnacentral:SRP_RNA from 13 species